GAGCCGGGAGGGAGAGGGCCGGCGGCGGGGCGGGGCGCUCUUCGCGCCCCCUGCAGGCGCCCAGCCCCAGGGAGCCCGCCCGCCUAGCCAUGCUCGCCCGCCGCCCCCCGACCCCCGACCCCUCGGGCCGCCCCGGCUGCAGGCUGCUGCGAGCCGGGCUGGCGGGACGCGGGGGAGGCGCGCGGCGCGGCGCGGGGAGCGGCCAGCUUGCAUAGCACAUUCAGAUACAAUCAGAGCUAUUUCAGAGACAAAACUUCCAGGAUGGCGCUUGAAAAAUACGUUCCAUGAAGAGUCUCCUCCCGGAAGUAAAGUGAGAUGUCAGUUUUCUGCCCUGGAUGUUGGAACACAGCGUCUUCCAGCCAUCACUAACUUGGACUUCUCCUGCGUAGCAGCUCCAUCUUGUGGUUGCUUGUCAACUUCCCACAGUUCUAGGCACAAACAGAACUCCCUCUUCUAAUUGUCCUCAUAGGCAGGACGGAAUUAAGCAGGAGCAAAGAAUGCGCUUGCUCACAGAAGGCCAUAAACCGGUGAGGUUGGAAGUAGGGCAAAGCAAUACAUUUUUAAAACCUGAAAUCAUGGAUGUACGACUCCUCGCAGGGCUCCUGUCUUCAAGUGUCACAACCCAAGCAGCUCCAUCAACUGGGGAUGCUCAAAAGACGUGAGCCACGGUAGACAGUUCUCAUUUACAUCACUACCUUUAGCCAUGAAGACUGCUUUAAAGUACAGUCAAAUCUGCAAACAUGCCAAUAUGAUCAUUUUAAUGGGUUCUUACGCACAAAAGCAUGGUGCUGGGAUCCGAUGGACAAAGCACGUGUUUCAGGCGUGUUCUCAUCUUUAUACGUUUUGGCAUAGGAUGUGUAGCAUGUAGUCAAACCUUUGUCUGAGUCCCCUGUCAUCCCAGGCCUUGUCUGGGGGAAGGAAAUGCAGAUGCUGUGUUUUAUGACAGGUGUGAACAAGGAUGGGCCAGGCUGAAAAGGGACAGCGGGGCAAGAAGACAGUGCAUGUCAUUAGGGCUUCCUCUCACGGGCACUCACUUGUGGAAAAAUAAAAAGCGCAGCUCCAGAUUGGGUCAUUUUCAGGUGCCAUUUGAACAGCCCACUAGGAAGAAAUAGAAGGCUCGAAGAUGGUUACAGGCACAUACUUGAUAAUCGUUUCUUAAGAUGGAGAAGUCUUGAUGUCAUUACAUCUACAGACAAAAGCCUCUUUAAGUGGUUAGCAAACCCAGAAGUGAGUAAGCUAACCCAUGCAGACGAGAAAGCCUUCUGCAAACCUUAUACAGCUUUUCUGUGCUCAUAGACCCAGGGGUUUUGUUUUCUGUUGUUUACACUGUCAAGUCACAAACAGUGGCUCCCCCAAGAGACUCUCUUUGCAUCCUUCACUGUCUGCUCCCAGCAGCUACUGGAGGGCCGCUCCCUCCCACAGCUGCUGCAGAAGCCAGCUUCCACAGGGUCCCUGACAGGGAGGAACUGAGCUGUUAGGAAUGAGCUGCCCACCCACUGCUAAGUAAUGUUCUGUCUCCAGCAUGGUAUUUCCACUGGAAAAUGUGCUGUGCACUUGGCUGUGGUGACAGUGUUAUUUACCACACAUCUGCCUCACAGGCCUAGGCGACAGCUCCAAGACCCGGUUCCGGGAUGGUAAGUGGUCUCUGAAGACUCUUCGCCUUCUAUAGCCAGACUAGAGCAAGUUAAGGUGGGGCUGGUGGAAAAGUAGGCAGGGGAGCCUAUGGAGAGGCUAUGUCUGCAUCCCUACUGUAUUGGCACGUAUCAUUGCCCCACAGAAUCCUCUAAGUCACUUGUCUGCAGAAGGGGCCUUGCUGCGGGAGCAGCCUGGAAGGGGUUGUUACAUUGCUGGUACAUUUGUUAGGGGCUUUCUGGAAUUCAAGCUGAAGCCAACAGUUUCCUUACUGCUUUCCAAGCUCUUCCCCCACUUAUUAGAAACUAGAGUUAAAUCUGAAACUUUGCGUGACAGUGAAGAAAUGUGUUUUCGAUAAUAAUGUUCCUCUUUGCCACAUAGUUACGUUUCGUCAAGCUUAUGGUGAGCAAAUUGCUAACUGCAUAUCAUAGAGCCAGGCAAUGAGACAUAAGACAGGAAUCCUCUGUAAUUUGCCACUGAGCGAUACCAGUAUUCUCCAUCACUGCAAACGCAGACCGUCUCUCCCCCUACACACAAAGAGCUCACCAAUUUCUAUCGUAUACCUCAACCCCACACAUGCAAACUGUUAAGUUUCCCAGGAAGAUCUGGAUCCAGGUGAUCUUUGGGUCACAAAUUGCUUUUAGAAUGAUGUUUACUAUUCCUGGGUUCUCUGGCGGUACCUUAUCUUUGAAUGCUCAACCUCAAUGACUUGUAGGGGUAGAAAGCAUGACCCAGCAACACUGUGGUUGGUAAAAUUGACUGCAUGGAUACCCUUUAGAAAUCAUCUGAGCAUGGUUUAAUUAAUUCUCAUUAUAGUCACUAAAAACUAACAGAUUUUUAAAAUUUGAUUGAAGAAAAAUAAAGUAUAAAAUUCGCCAUCUUGGGGCUGGAGAGAUGGCUCAGCAGUUAAGAAUACUUGCCGCUCUUACAGAAGACCCAGGUUCUGUUCCCACAGGGGCCUCAGAGGCCUGAGACUUGAUACCCUCUUCUGACAGACAAAGACAGUGAGUGCACAUGGUACACACAUACAGACAGACAGAAGCACUCACACACAUUAAUUAUUUUUUAAAAUCCCUCUUUAAAAUGUACAGUUUUGUGCAUUUAUGUUGCUGUGCAAGUUCUCCAUAACAUUUUCAGUUUACAAAAUUACAACUCUCUAUCCAUUAAACAAUUCUCUACUAGCCUCUCCCCGAACAAUCCCCAGUUCUUGGUAAAAAUUAUUCUACAUUACUAAAAUUGUUAUUGUUUCUAUGAAUUUGACCUCUUUAGGCAUGUAUAUAACUAACCAUAUAAUGCUUGUCUUUUCAUGGUGGGUUUAUUUCACUUAACAUAGCAUCUUCAAGACUCAUUGGCGCUGCAGAAUGUGGUAGAAGUUCCUUGAUUUUCAAGACUGAAUACUACUUAACAUGCACAUGCACUCGAGCAACCCUUCCACUAAAGCCCUCUGAUAGUACCUUCUAUUUUUAUGGACCAUUCUUCAGGGAUUUAGUUGUCUUUCAAAUGUUCCAUCGUGUACAGAAGUGUAUAGGUGAUUCACGCUGGUGAGAACAUGCUUGCAAACUUUAACUAAUCGGUGUGCUUUUGCUAUUAUGUUUUAAAAACCCAAAUUCAAGAACAAACAAACAAAUAAAAAACAAAUUCGUGGGCCGAGGUGUAGGUUGACUUGCUUUCACCCUCUACUUGGCAGUCCUGAACCCAGGAUUCCCUCAGGCAUUGGAGGAUUUCUGAGGACCAAAUGCUAAGACCCAAGUCCCGUCCAUCCUCUUAAACUCUUCCACCUGAACACGGAGCAGAGCCUAGGAGGAGUGAAUGGCUAGACAACUCUGUAAACGCCUAUUGAGUGGCGCUCUCUCGUGCCCUUCAGUAUGUUAAGGAGUGCAGAUUUUUGUGAUAGAGGCUCGAUAGCUAAUCUACAGCAAUAAAUGAGAGUAAUGAUGGUGCUCUUAGGGUGUUCUCUGUAGGUAAUGUGAGGCUUGCAAAGUAUGACAUUUUAAAUAAACUUUAAUCUCUCAGGAUUUUUUUUUUAAAAGGCAUAAAGACAGAAAUGAAAUAUAGAACAGAGUAUCAGUUGACACAGGGAUCCCUGCCUCUCAUGAUACAUAACUAGGGCUUACCUCUUCAUCCUGAAAUAUAUGGUUCUUCCCCAGUAAAUGAGUCAUAAAACUUUUAUGGAGUGUGCCCUAACUUUACUGUAAAAAUAUGCUCCAUCUUUAUGGCAAAGGUGACUCAGAACUACCUUGUGGAUGAUAGGGAUAACAUAUCUAUUAAAGAGGCUAUUAAAUUUGCCUCUUUGGACAGUAUUUAAGCCUUCCUGAUACUUAUAUCUCUCCUUCAUGGAAGUGGGGAUGAAGAAGACUCUGACUUGGAUGUUUCUCCAAAAUUUAAUAGUUUCUGACUCAAGAACUAACAAAACUUAAUUUCAGGUAAGCACACUUAAAUUGAAACAAGGAUUUGAAUGGGAACGCCAUCUAUCACACAGAGAAAUGUAGGACCUCCAUAGAUCCAUCCUCAGGUGAAGAUCACAAUGAGCGUAUCCCAACGGUACCAAGCUACUUGGGGCAUAGGACUGUGCAAGGUGACCUGGGCCUGUGGUAUGAAUCAUUCCCACAGGUGGAGAACUAAACGCCCAUGAAAAGAAACUAAGAUAGGGAGGUACUCGUGACUUCUUACCAAAUUUCAUCCCAGACUGGUGAUUCUCUGAUGCUGGAGAUUCUCUGAUUCUGUCAAAUUCCUGGACAUCUCUCAAGGAAACACAAAUAAGUCACCAUCUGCUUUGUUUUGUUUCUUCUUCCUAAGCUUACAUACUUUGAAAAUAUUUGAAUUCAAUGUGCAUGUCUUAAAUAAAUAAAAAUAAGAACAGAAAGAUUAGCCUUCAGCUUACCACACGCGGUACGUGGGGCUGAACUGGAACGCUAUUUCGUGACAAUUUAUAUCCUCCAA